rnacentral:tRNA from 1 species
GGAGGGAUAGCUCAGUGGUAGAAUGUAUGCUUAGCAUGCAUGAGGUCCAGGGUUCAAUCCCCCGUGCCACCU